UUGUUUCUCGUGUAAUGAAAG
rnacentral:siRNA from 1 species